rnacentral:other from 1 species
CAAGCCCUGCUUCCGUUAGCCGUUCUUUGCGAUGGACCGAUGCAUUCUAACAGGGAGCUCAAGAUAGCGCGUAGAAUGGAGAUUCGUGCCCGUUGGCACGAAAGCCAGGAAGCGAGCUGCGAGCACCCACCUUACGAGGUGGGUUCAUCCUGGGCGCGGGGGCAGGGCUUUU